rnacentral:rRNA from 1 species
UCGAGGAUCAUUCGCAAUGGGCGAAAGCCUGACGAUGCGACGCUGUGUGAGCGAUGAAGGCCUUCGGGUUGUAAAGCUCUUUCGCAUGGGAACAAGAGAGGCUAGUGAAUAACUGGCUAAUUUGAGGGUACUAUGUAAAGAAGCACCGGCUAACUCCGUGCCAGCAGCUGCGGUAAUACGGAGGGUGCAAGCAUUAAUCGGAUUUAUUGGGCGUAAAGGGCGCGUAGGCGGGUUUGUAAGUCAGAUGUGAAAUUCCGAAGCUCAACUUCGGAGCUGCAUUUGAAACUAUAAAUCUUGAGGGUUGGCGGAGAAAAUGGAAUUCCACGUGUAGCGGUGAAAUGCGUAGAUAUGUGGAAGAACACCAGUGGCGAAAGCGGUUUUCUAGCUUAUACCUGACGCUGAGGCGCGAGAGCAAGGGGAGCAAACAGGAUUAGAUACCCCCGUAGUCC